rnacentral:lncRNA from 1 species
UUUUAAAACACGAAAAACAACCGCUUCUUCCUCUUUUUCCAUCACUGUGCGUGAGAGAACUACGGAAGAACUGCCGCCUUCUUCCUCAACAAUCGACCACCACCCGCCACCUAGACCACCAGAUCCCACUACCAUUUGAACCCCCUCACCUUCGUCUUCAACCUCUAGUCAUCACCGGGCUACGGAGUUGUCGAAAACAGCCCCAAUCACCACCCAAAACCGCCCUACCAAUCACGAUUUUCGCCAUAUUUCCACCACCGUCAGCCACCGUUUCGAUUGCGGACCGCCACCACUUUCGUGCUCUCAACGAGGCGCAUUCAGUACCACCAUGGGUCACCUGUAAUUUUGUCCAGAAUCGAGAGAGCUUGUGAAAGCAGUUCGUGAGUGCUCUAAUUUGUGUUUUUUUUUAUUUUAAUUAUUAUUAUUAUUAUUGAGUGGUUCAUCGUCUGGUCUUGUCCUACAGACCCGUUUAGACCCAAAACUGUAAUCUGGGUUUUGAAUAAAAAUUCAUUUAGUGAAAGAUCUUUUGAUUAUCCGAUUUAAGGUGAGUUUAUCAGAAGCAUUUGAACUCUUAUUUCAUUUUUGUUUUAUUAUACAUUGUAAUUAUGUAAAUUACAGUCUAAAAGAGUAAAGAGUCAUCAGUAGAACUAGAUUUUUUAUCAAAAAAAUUACUAACUCUUUGCUGUAUCUUUUAGGGUAUUAGUUUGUCAUUGUACAUGUUUAGCAUUGAUUGCUAGAGUCAAUGAAUCAUUUGAGAAAACAUACUUUGUUUCCAAGGAAAAACAGAGAUGUUAUCUUUUUUGGGAAAAGUUUCAAUAUUUUGAUUUGACAAAAAUGGGUUCUAACAUGAAUAUUGGCAUACGGUUGGAUGGAAUUGAACAAUAUAAUUAUCAUUUUUUUACUAUAUAUAUGCCAUAAUUCUUGUAUUGAUAAUUUUUUAAAGGCAGAUUCUUUUUUCUCCCUUAUUUUUUUUAUUUUCAUUUUUAAAUUUUUGGCAUUUUUCUGUUAUUUUCUUGAAUUAAUAGUGAAUCCAUUUAAAUCUGGACAGAAUGAAGAAUGGAAGAUUACGGAAAUUUCUCUACAUUCUUGUUUGUAUGCUGAUUGUGAUAAGAACAGAAGGAUUUUUAGUUGAUAUUACUUAUGUUCAGAGUGCUGUGGCAAAAGGAGCAGGGAAAACAUUAAGGGUCAACAUUUAGAGCGAAAUUCUAAUUUUUUUUUUUACGUGCAUAUAUAUAUUUUUUUAAAAAAAAGAUUCAAUAUUUAUUUUUCUGCAUUGUGUUUGCAGUUUGUUUUGACGGUAGUCCACCGGCAUAUCGUUUUGAUAGGGGAUCUGGUGUAGGAAUUAACAAUUGGUUGGUUCAUAUCGAGGUUAGUCCUUUUUUCAUAAGCUAUUAAAAUAUGCAUAUAGUUUUUUUUUUUAUGGCAGCAGAAUGGAUCAUUAAAAGAUUAUACUUUAGAUCAUCCUAGGAAAUAAGAGUAGUUACUUGAUUUUUUUAGGAGAAUAUAAUUCAUACAAUAGGAAAAGAUGUAGUAACUGUGUUUGAAACAUAGUAAAAAUGAUGAUGUUGAGAUCAACAAACAUCACAAUGGAAUUGAUUAAAUUAUAUAGAAUAAAACUUAUCUUCUUCUUCUUGCAUUUUUGGCAAUCAAACUGAGUGUUUCACUUUUGAUUUUGUCAUCCAUGUACCAGAGAUAUAUUUGGCCAAAUACUUGAACCUGUUGAAAUUGAAUAUUUUAGUACAGAAAGUUAAACUUACUGUUUUUUAUUAUUUCAUAUCGCUUUGACCGCUUGAAUGGUUUUCAUCCGGAUUUUUCACAGGUCACGUCCAAGUUAUGCAUAAAAAUAAUGAAUUUUCAUCCUCUAUAAUAACUUAACAAAAUCUGUUAAUCUUGGUGUCCAGGAAGGAAGAUAGUGCAACAAUGUCACUACUUGCCUUGAACGUAAAGACAAUCACCUAGGUUCCUCCAAGCAAAUGGCUAAGCAGGUUGUAUUUUCUGGGAUUUUGAGCAACAAGCUAAAGUUCAACCCAGGUAUACUUCAAAUUUUUUUAUUGAUUUUGAUUGUGUUAAAACUUUUAUAUUUUUCAGUGUUAUCUUUAAUAAAUAUGGUCUCUAUUUGAAUUUCCAAAUUUCUAUAAUUGGAAUAGGAUAAAUGUUAGAUAUUGUGAUGGAGCAUCAUUUACUGGAUAUAGACGCAGUAGAUAUAAUGAAAUGGCAUCAUAUAAUAAAUAUGAUCCCUUAUAUUUUCUUUUUCACUUUCUAGAAGUCAUUAGAUAUAAUGAAAUGGCAGUUUUCAAACAUAUAGUGAAUUUCUUUGUUGUUCGAAUAUUUAUGGAAACUUCUAAUUUUUGGGUAAAUAUUCCAUCAGGCUUCUAAACUUUACUUCAGAGGAGCAAGAGUUUUUGUUGCUAUCAUCGAGGAUUUGUUAGAAAAAGGAAUGAAGAAUGUUGAAAAUGUAUGAUUUUCUCUUACGUUUUUUCAUCCAACUUAGACUGUAAUCUUACUUGCUAUCGUUAACUUGACUGUUCUUACGUAGGCCAUUCUAUCUGGAUGUUCAGCCGGUGGAUUAGCAUCGAUUUUGCAUUAUUAUCUAUAUUUUGUUAUAAAACGUUAAGAAGACUUCCUUCUUAUAUAAGUUUAUUGAAAAACUGCAGCAAGGCAUUCCCGGUGAACUAGUCAAGAAAUAGUUUGUGGGGCUAUGUGUUAUCUGUUACUUAAUCCGCCUUCACAAGCACCAGAGUGAUUUCAUUGCUACAAGCUGCAUAGCUCAAAAGCAAGCUUGCUAAUAAUCAGCUCAGAGCCUUGUAUUCUUUUAUUGUAUUUUCUUUGAAUCACUAGUCAUUUUUUUAUUUACUCUUUUACUGGAUGCCUGUAAAUUGAAAAUUACCUAGUUUGGAUUUGGAUGAACUAUAAAUUUUGUUAUAUUUUUAAAUAGGGUUUAGCCCACAAAAUAAUAUGUACCAUGUUGUAAUAAAUGUUUUUUUCCCACAAAAUUCAUUUGUAGGAAAAAUACAAUUUAGCCUACAAUAUAAUUUGUAGGGAAAAGCGUAAUUGUUUUGUGGGUAAAAUUAACUUUAACAGAUGAAUGAUUU